rnacentral:tRNA from 1 species
GUCCUCUUCGUCUAGCUGGCCUAGGACAUCGCCUUUUCACGGCGAAAACACGGGUUCAAAUCCCGUAGGGGAUA